rnacentral:rRNA from 1 species
CCUACGGGGGGCAGCAGUGAGGAAUAUUGGUCAAUGGACGCAAGUCUGAACCAGCCAUGCCGCGUGCAGGAAGACGGCUCUAUGAGUUGUAAACUGCUUUUGUACGAGGGUAAAUCCCGAUACGUGUAUCGGGUUGAAAGUAUCGUACGAAUAAGGAUCGGCUAACUCCGUGCCAGCAGCCGCGGUAAUACGGAGGAUUCAAGCGUUAUCCGGAUUUAUUGGGUUUAAAGGGUGCGUAGGCGGUUCGAUAAGUUAGAGGUGAAAUCCCGGGGCUCAACUCCGGCACUGCCUCUGAUACUGUCGGG